AUACGUAGGGGGCAAGCGUUAUCCGGAAUUACUGGGUGUAAAGGGAGCGUAGGUGGUAGUGCAAGUCAGAUGUGAAAGCCCGGGGCUCAACCCCGGGACUGCAUUUGAAACUGCAUAACUAGAGUGCAGGAGAGGUAAGUGGAAUUCCUAGUGUAGCGGUGAAGUGCGUAGAUAUUAGGAGGAACACCAGUGGCGAAGGCGGCUUACUGGACUGUAACUGACACUGAGGCUCGAAAGCGUGGGGAGC
rnacentral:rRNA from 1 species